GACCAAGUAGUGGGUUAAACUUCAAGUAUACGUUGAGUUCUCCACAUGACCCUGUCCUGUGUCUAAGCAGGGCAGUGUCUCUCGUCUUGCCCUCUUUCACU